UGGGCAUCUAAAUGUUAGCUGGGGAAGCUACUGAAUGAAACAAUCAGACCCUGGGCAUCUCAAGGUUGCAGCUUUCUUGCUCAGACUAUGUUGCAGUAGGGCUGGUGAGGGCCACUGCUGGCAAAAGCAGGAUGGAGGUGAGCUCCUCACACAGUCCCAUGAAAGUGGCUUUUCUCAUCCGAAAGUUCUGCAGCCUCUGCUUGUCAUCCCAGACUUCCAGGACGAUGUGAUCCCACCACUCAGUGCUUGUUUCCUGAGCCCAAAAGCAGCAUUCUAUGGUGAGUAACUCGACUGCCAAACAUGAUGUGCUGACAAGACUCAUCAGCAUAUUCCUCAGCAGUUCGGGCUCCAUUCCCGCAGACCGAAAGGGAAGACAGAGCGCGCAGUACAAAAAAUGUUGAAAGAUGGCGCCAAAUGUGGAUGGAAGCACAAGGAUUGCUGGGAUGCGAACCGAUGCAUCACUGGGUGUUGGGACAGGACCCAGAAUGCCCUCCACCUCCUUCCCACAAGCCACAGCACCAGAAUGGGAAGAGGUGCUCUGUGGGAGAGGUGCUCAUAAUGCACCACUCCCAAUGCCGCUGCAAGUGCUGCAAAUGUGGCCACACCAGUGCGCUUGCAGCUGUCAGGGUGGACAGACUGCAGCGCUUUCCCUACUGCACUCUCCGAAGGCUGGUUUAACUCAAAGCGCUCUACAUUUGCAAGUAUAGCCAUGCCCUUAGUGUUGUUCAGUGCCUUAUGCAGGACCUUUGUAUGGAGGUGGAUUUCAUCUUUGCAGGGUAACUCUCUCCACAUCCCAGCAAGAGCAUUUCUGGCUUGUGAGUGACUCUUCUCUGUAAUGAAGGUAUGAUCUCAGGGUUACCUUUAAUCUAGGUGAUCCUUUUUGGUCUUCCCCAGAAAUAUCACAGGCCUGUUUCUAUCAUCCUAACAAAUGCAGAACUCCCAUUAAAAAUCAGUAGGAGUUACAUUCUGUGAGGGCGAUAGGGGCAGGAAGCAUUCUGAAGCACUUUCAGGUGAAAGAUGCAGUAUACGUACGAGCAGGAUUUUUCAUAAGCUUUCUGAUUACACUUAGCCUUGUAGUAGCUGAGCAUCUGACAAACAUAUAGCCUCACGACCUCCCUGGGAGCAAGGGAAGUAUUAUUUUUCUCAGUCUGGCUUCCCUAACUCACACAAGUAGUCUAUGGCGGAGAUGAGAAUAAAACCUAGAUCUCCCGAUUCCCACGUCUGGGCCUUACUCACAAAGCCAUCACUUUGCUUUAUUGAUAAAACAGAGUCCUGAAAGCAAUGUACUGCACGAGUCUCAACCUCUAAAACCGAACUGUCACACAGGCCUUUUAAAUGUGUGGCAAAGUCUAAUUAAAGAGAUACAUGAUGAAAAUUGA